GUGGGGUCGAAGGACCAGCAAUUGAAGCAUCACUUAGAUGUCGACGAUCUAUAGCUGAAGAGAAGGCAGAUGCAUUACAAUUAAACUCUGUGGGUACAGAGCUAGACGAACUAACAGACGCGAUGGUCGCCAAGGCUGUUAAGGCAGGCUCUUCCAAAUCGGAAGUCAAAAUCGGUUUCAGUCCAACUAACCCCCGUUUCUUUGAACAUGGGCGUACACCACAAGUAAAAUGUCCUCGUCUCCUGUCCAAUUCAUGGUUAGCACAAGAAAGCUGUCCUCAUGUAAAGGUGUUAUUAACAUCAUUCAGAAGCAAUGGUUUUUGUAAAGUGAUCUUUCCUGACUGGCAGGGAAUAUACUACACCCAGUGUCUAUGUCGAGAAUGCAGAGGAUGCGAACGGCGGUUUAUUUUCCGUCCUACAAAAACCCGAAACGUGUGUAAACCAGAUAAAUAUACCGGGGCCGAAGUUUUGGCGAUCUGUCGAAGAAGACAUCAAAAGGGAUGGAAAAUCAAGAAAAUUCAUGUAAGCCUUCCCGAUGGCAAUUGUGAUUGCAACGUCGUCCGCAAUCAUUGUUAGAUAUUGCUUAUAGUCAUAUGCCUUGAAAGCUCACUAUGAACCAUAUCACCAGUAAAACUAUUUUGACAUAUUUUCUAAAUGAUUUGAAGCCAUACAAUUGAUUUCUAGAGCUUAUUGUAAAUUCACCAUGAAAUUCACUUGUGGACAUUGAUAAUUAUUUUCAUUACCAAUUAUGGUUGUUUCUUUUUUGAUUAAUUGUAUUUCUGAU